UGGGGAAUAUUGCACAAUGGGCGCAAGCCUGAUGCAGCAACGCCGCGUGAAGGAAGAAGGCCUUUGGGUCGUAAACUUCUGUCCUAGGGGAAGAUAAUGACGGUACCCUUGGAGGAAGCCCCGGCUAACUACGUGCCAGCAGCCGCGGUAAUACGUAGGGGGCAAGCGUUAUCCGGAAUUAUUGGGCGUAAAGAGUGCGUAGGCGGUUUCUUAAGCGUGGGGUGAAAGGCUAUGGCUUAACCAUAGUUAGCCCCGCGAACUGGGAGACUUGAGUGCAGGAGAGGAAAGCGGAAUUCCUAGUGUAGCGGUGAAAUGCGUAGAUAUUAGGAGGAACACCAGUGGCGAAGGCGGCUUUCUGGACUGUAACUGACGCUGAGGCACGAAAGCGUGGGGAGCAAACAGGA
rnacentral:rRNA from 1 species